UGUUCUGGGCACCCACCCAAGACAGUAAGAGAGGACUCCACAGCCUACCCGGUUUCUGGUCUCAAUGUCUACCUGGCAUUAGAAACACUACAAAUCUCUGCUCGGUGCCGCUUAAAAUUAAAGAAAUGGGUCCUCCAGAAUAGGAGCCUAGUAAAGAAGAGAAAGAAGGAAGGUUUGUAGCUUCAUCCUACAAGAGACUACUCCAAUCUCAGGGGAAGAUAAGAACAAGUAUUUAUUGAAUGCUAUGUGCUCAGUGCUUCAUGUGAAUUACCUUUCUGCAAGGGAGGUCAUAUGGUAAUAACAGAUGUCACUCAAAGAUCUCCAUGAAGAAUCAACAAAGACCAAUCUAGGAUUUGUCUACAAAGGAAUAAGGAUUCUACUCUCUGUUAGAAAGACUUCUGUGAUUGAGAAUUGACCAAGCAACAGGUUGCUCUAUACCUGGAAGGUUUCUCAGAGAAUUUAACUGAGACGUACCACAGUGCAAUGCUAACCUUCUCCAACUGAGGUGUGGGGAUCCCUGGAGUGGCACCCAGCAGCUCAGAAGGGGACACGAGAGGGGUUAACAGAAGGUCUUCCUGGAGCUUAAAUUUUAUUUUAUGUCAAGUAGUUUAAAGGAUUACUUUUUUACUUUCAUAUUAUGGAGUAGAAAGCUAAAUUUGCAUAA